UCAGCAUAAAUGCUGUGAUCCCACUGGAUAAAUUGCUUACCAAAAAUCCCACCUACCUGUUUGGAGAGGAAUUCCCUGGGAAGCAGGUGCUAUGAGCCAAGGAAGCUACCAGUGGAGACGUCAUCUUCUCCGUCCACGCUCUAGGCAAAUCUGGAUUCCCAACAUUUACAAGACAUGAGAAAUCUUUGCAAACAUUUCCCCGGUGAUGGAAUUUAAGCACAAGCUGUGAGCAGCUUCUGUCUCCUAUAUAAAAUUUACUAACAAACAUGAAGAAAGUUUUGUUGCUAGCCGGUGGGUCCACAACCUCAGGAGGUCCAGGGUGCGGUUCAAAACGGACCUGGUACACAGAGGGCGGGAGGGUGAGGAGGGACUGGAGAGAGGCUGGCCCCGCAGACCGGCGGUUUCAGGAGCCGAGAACUCACCCAGGAGGCUGGCUGGUCGAGGACCCGCAGAGCAACGCAUCUCCACCGGGCGGGGUCCGGGAGGCCGGAAGUGGGCGCUGCUGCGCAUGCGCCCAGGGGGCCUUAGCGUCAGGUGCGGCUCGCGGCUGCACGCUGGAAGAUGGCUCCCACGGAGGUCAGAGGGCGUCUGAGGAGCCGCCAUGCCCCCCGCCUAGUCGACUCGCAGGUUAUUUGGAUACAGCCUUUCCAGAACUGAUUUUUAGAUCUCCUGGACUAUUCACUGAAGGUCACCCACUCAGUGCUUUGUGAUUCUUGAGGACAAAACAGCUGAGGAAGAAGAAUAACAUUUAUUUAAUGGAUGCUGAGCAAAAGGUAUUCACAUUUCAUGCUUCGGGGCUUAAGCCGAUCCUAGAUCAGUAGGGAACUUUUCCAGGCUCCGAAUUGUACAACUGGGUAAGUGCUUAGUGCUAACAACCCUUCUGUCCCCAUCCAGGCAUGGUCUGAGGUCACCAUCUCAGGGGUGUCCCCGCAUCCCCUCAGCUCCUAAAUUUGCUCACAAACC
rnacentral:lncRNA from 1 species